AUUGAACGCUGGCGGCAGGCCUAACACAUGCAAGUCGAACGGCAGCACAGUGCUUGCUUCUGCAUUCAGCGGCGGACGGGCGGGUAAUGCCUAGGAAUCUGCCUGUCUGUGUUGGAUUACGUGCGGACACGGGCGCUCAUACCGCAUACGUCCUGAGGGAGUACGGGUGGGAGCUUCGGACCUCACGCCCUCAGAUGAGUCUAUGUCGGAUUAGCUAGUUGGUGGGGUAAAGGCCUACCAAGGCGACGAUCCGUAGCUGGUCUGAGAGGAUGAUCAGCCACACUGGAACUGAGACACGGUCCAGACUCCUACGGGAGGCAGCAGUGGGGAAUAUUGGACAAUGGGCGAAAGCCUGAUCCAGCCAUACCGCGUGGGUGAAGAAGGUCUUCGGAUUGUAAAGCACUUUUGUUGGGAAAGAAGAGCAGUAGGUUAAUACCUUGCUGUUUUGACGGUACCAAAAGAAUAAGCACCGGCUAACUUCGUG
rnacentral:rRNA from 1 species